GAUCCUGGCUCAGGAUGAACGCUGGCGGCGUGCUUAACACAUGCAAGUCGAACGGGGAUUAUUUUUGACAGAGACUUCGGUUGAAGUCGUUAUAAUCCUAGUGGCGGACGGGUGAGUAACGCGUGGGUAACCUGCCUCACACUGGGGGAUAACAGUCAGAAAUGACUGCUAAUACCGCAUAAGCGCACGGAGCCGCAUGGCUCAGUGUGAAAAACUCCGGUGGUGUGAGAUGGACCCGCG
rnacentral:rRNA from 1 species